GGGUUAAUACAACCUUUUCUUUUCUGUCUGUUUGUUUUGAUCUGCAGUUAAAGUUAAACACACCUGCUCUCACACUUCUACACCUGCAGGCUGAGAUCUGACCGUCAUCCACACGAUCUCACGUCUCUAAAGGAAUCCUGUAAAAACUCAGCGUCACUCACAGCUCCACAAACGUCCCCGAGGUUCUUCAGACUCCUGACUCUGCACUUUUUUCAGGCGGAUCACCAAAAACCAGAUCAGGAGACCGUCACAGACGAGCUGCUGCUUUAUUUCACUUUGAGUUAUUGAUCAGAUGAAGAAGUCAAAUAUUUGAGGCCUGAGAACAAAGAGACACUCAGGUGAGAGUGUCAGUUUGUGUGACACUGACUUCGUUUACUUCGUUCAGUCGGGUCACAUGAUCUCUACCUGCAUGUGUUUCAACAUUAUGGAUCAUUUUUCCAUGAAUCAGUCACAUAUGUGUAUGAACUUCUGAACAGUAAUCAGAAAUGUUUUUGUGUUGAUGAACCAGAUCCUGCAGAGCUCAGAAUCCUGCGACACCUGAUCUGUAAACGGAGACGAAAUUAAAGACGAGAAGAGCUGACGAAUAAAGCUGCAAACAAACUGAUCUUCAUCUUCUUC